UCACUGGUCGAGUCGGCCUGCGCGGAAGAUGUAACGGGGCUAAACCAUGCACCGAAGCUGCGGCAGCGACACUAUGUGUUGUUGGGUAGGGGAGCGUUCUGUAAGCCUGUGAAGGUGUACUGUGAGGUAUGCUGGAGGUAUCAGAAGUGCGAAUGCUGACAUAAGUAACGAUAAAGCGGGUGAAAAGCCCGCUCGCCGGAAGACCAAGGGUUCCUGUCCAACGUUAAUCGGGGCAGGGUGAGUCGACCCCUAAGG
rnacentral:rRNA from 1 species